CUGUGCGUUUUCGGUGGCGGCGGGGGACCGAUAACCGUUCACCUUUCCUUUUCGACGCAACCGCCGUUCUCCCCUCGGCUCUUCUCCUAAGUACCAAAUUCCCAACCCGUCGUUCAAACCCUAACCUAACUCUCCUUCCCUUCUCUCCGCCCUUCUAUCCCCAUUUGCCUCGUUCCGUGAUCGCGCGCUCAGAGGCUUCCAGCUAGAUUUUCGGCUCUGUACUCUUAUUAAGCUGCUGUAACAUUGUUCUAAUGGCAAAUCUUGAAAAAAGACGUGAGAAUGAAGCAAUAGCUUCAGUGUCGGAGGCAGCUAGUUUUAGUCAGGUGGAAGAGACUUCACCGGAUUUAUUGAAGAACACUCCUUCUAACAUAGCCAGAUUGGAAGAUGUGAUUGAACACUGCAAGGGUCGGCAGAAGUAUCUUGCACAGACAAAGAGCCCAUCUGAUGGGGAGGAUGUCCGUUGGUACUUCUGCAAAGUGCCUCUAGCAGAGAAAGAACUUGCAGCUUCAGUUCCUCAAACAGAAAUAGUGGGGAAAAGUGAUUAUUUCCGAUUUAGUAUGAGAGACUCACUUGCACUAGAGGCUUCUUUCUUACAGAGGGAAGAAGAGCUACUUGCACAUUGGUGGGGAGAAUAUGCAGAAUGCAGUGCAGGUCCAAGUGGCCCUUCUACGGCUAAUAUGGCUACUGGCUCUAGAUCUGAUGAUCUGUAUGUGGUCGAGGAAGAGAGGGUUGGUGUCCCUGUAAAGGGUGGCCUUUAUGAGGUAGAUCUAACUAAGCGCCACUGCUUCCCAGUUUAUUGGCAUGGUGAAAACAGACGUGUCUUGAGAGGCCACUGGUUUGCUUGUAAAGGUGGCCUUGAUUGGCUUCCCCUACGUGAAGAUGUUGCGGAACAAUUGGAGUUGGCUUACCGCUGUCAGGUUUGGCAUCGCCGGACAUAUCAACCUUCAGGCCUUUUUGCUGCCCGUGUUGAUCUGCAAGGCCCCACACAGGGCUUGCAUGCUCUUUUCACAGGAGUGGAUGAUACUUGGGAGGCUUGGUUAGUCUCUCAUAACUCUAGUUUUACUCUUAAUGCUGGAAGAGGAAAUGGUGUCAAGCUAAGACGUGGUUUUUCACCUUCUGGAUCUCUGAAUCCAACUCAGGAUGAAUUGCGCCAACGAAAAGAGGAGGAGAUGGAUGAUUAUUGUUCUCAGGUGCCAGUCGGCCACCUAGUUUUCAUGGUUCAUGGUAUUGGACAGAGGUUAGAGAAAGCUAAUUUAGUCGAUGAUGUUGGUGAUUUUCGUCGUAUAACAGCUAGUCUAGCUGAAAGGCACUUAACUCCAUACCAGAGAAGCACCCAGAGGGUCCUCUUUAUUCCUUGUCAGUGGAGAAGGGCUCUGAAGCUCAGUGGUGAAAGUGCAGUUGAAAAGAUCACCUUGGAUGGUGUCCGGGGUCUGCGUGUAACAUUAAGUGCUACAGUUCAUGAUGUUCUAUACUACAUGAGCCCAAUAUACUGUCAAGAUAUAAUUGACUCGGUUUCAAACCAGUUAAACAGAUUGUAUGCGAAGUUUCUCAAAAGAAAUCCAGGCUACAAUGGGAAGGUUUCAAUAUAUGGUCACUCAUUAGGAAGUGUACUGUCUUAUGAUAUCCUUUGCCAUCAAGAAUGCUUAUGUUCACCUUUUCCUAUGGAGUCUGUUUACAUGGAAAGGAUACCAGAGCAAGAGUCUGUAGCUGAUGCCUCCUGCCAAGCUUUUGUAUCCAGUGGUACCAUGACUUCUCAAAAUAACAACAAUAACAUAAAUGGUGCAAAUUUGGAACAGCUGGCAUGUACAGCUACGGAAGGCAGUUCUAUGUCGCAUCCGUAUAUCAUGGUUAACGAGCAUAAUUCUCAAGACAUUUCAGCAGACGUGUUAGAGGAUUCCUCAAAUAGUAGUGGCUUUAUGUAUCCUAAAGAGGAGUCUGAUGAUUCUGUUCCACGAAAUAUAACUGAAAAGCUAGAUAUUGAUAUGUUGGUCACGGAGGAAGCUGGAAAAGAGUUUGGUCAGCAUUCUGGAGCUACAUUCAAUGCAGAAGAAAGAGAUUCUAAUGCAAGUCCAACCACAGGAAAUGGAGAUUAUGAAGGUGAUGCAGUUAAAGUUGCUGGAAUGAUGUCUAAAGACGUAAUUGAUAAAGACAAAUUAAUCUCCUUGUUGGAUGAAGAGGUGAAGGCCCUUAAAGUGAGGAUUGCAGAGCUUGAACAUAAUCUUUGCACUACAAGUUACCCUAAUUGUGAGAAAAUUGGCAACCGUGAAUUUGAUCAAGGAAAAGAGGUUAAAUCUACAAUUAAACAAUCCUCUCUUAGCAAUCUCUCUACAGAGGAAGAUGACAAAAGGAGCUAUACACCUUAUGUUAAAUACACUAAGCUAGAUUUCAAGGUUGAUACAUUCUUUGCUGUCGGAUCACCUCUUGGAGUUUUUCUUGCCCUUCGGAAUAUCCGCAUAGGAAUAGGCAGGGGGCAAGAUUAUUGGCAAGAUGAAAAAAUAUCUGAAGAGAUGCCAUCUUGCAGGCAGAUGUUUAACAUUUUCCAUCCCUUUGAUCCUGUGGCUUACAGAGUAGAACCACUUAUCUGCAAAGAAUACAUCAGCAAGCGCCCUGUUAUUGUACCCUAUCACAGGGGUGGGAAGAGGUUGCAUAUUGGAUUUCAGGAAUUCACUGAAGAUAUAGCUGCACGUUCUCAAGCCAUAGCAAGUCACUUAAACUCUUUGAGGGUCAAAAUGGUUAAUGUUUUUCACUCACGAGACAAGGAUAACAUGGACGAAGCAACGGAAGAAGUCAAAGAAAAAGAAAGAUCGUAUGGCUCCAUUAUGAUUGAAAGACUGACAGGCAGUGAAGAUGGUCGAAUUGACCAUGUUCUCCAGGUGUUCGUAUUAUUUGUUUAUGAUUUUUUUUGGUUAACCAUGCAGGACAAAACAUUUCGGCAUCCCUACUUAUCAGCUUUGGGAUCACAUACUAAUUAUUGGCGUGAUCACGACACUGCUCUCUUCAUUCUCAAACACCUCUAUCGUGAUAUGCCUGAAGAGCCCCCAGCAACUGAACAAUCAAGUAGUGGAUGGCGAUCCAGGACUCAAAGAAGGGCCACAAAACUAAUUUAUGACAGGGAUGCUAUGGAUGAAGAUACUCCGUUGACAUUCUCUGAUAAUUUACUGAUUAGGGAGUUUUCUAGGAAAGCAAAAAGAUCAUGAAUGCCACAUAAUGGUUUUGAAGGCUUCUGCUGCCACAAUAGGGGAGAAUCACAUUACGUGGAAGCAUACGGAGUCCCUAGGAAGCUUGUCUGUGUGUCAGAAUCAAUUGCCGAUACCUGUAAUCAAAUGGCUUAAAACAAAAUGACGAAGGAAUCACAAACUUGCAGGUAAUAUCCUGGUACGAAUCAUUCAUCACUAUCCACCCUUGCACUGCCUUCUAUUUGAUUGAUAUUUAUCUUUUGAUUGUUGUAUCUUAUAUUAAACAUGAGAGAGACUUAGAAUCAAUACCAAACAAAGAAAAUAAGCCCACCAUUUUACACAAGGGAAGGAGAAGUUAGGCAAGGAAAAAGCACAUACUUUCUCCUAUAAAUAUAUCUUUUUUGUGCGACAAAUUUGAAGUUUGUUGUCUUCUUGUACUAGGUUUUCUUUGGAGACUCUCUAGACAAUUUUCUCUUGCACAUGUUGGAUUCUUUCUUUAAUGUACUCAUUUUAUUAGGCAAACCAUCUUAAAUCUUAGUAUAUUUGCAUUGCUUGUCC